rnacentral:rRNA from 1 species
AUUGAACUCUGGCGGCAGGCCUAACACAUGCAAGUCGAACGACUGGCGGCCGGGUGAGUAAUUUCUGGGAAACUGCCUGAUGGCGGGGGAUAACUACUGGACACGGUAGCUAAUACCCCAUACCAUCAGAUGUGCCCACAUGGGAUUAGCUUGUUGGUGGGGUAACGGAUCACCAAGGCGACGCUCCCUAGCGGGUCUGAGAGGGUGACCAGCGAAACUGGAACUGAGACAAGGUCAAGAGUCAUACGAGAGGCAGCAGUGGGGAAGAUUGCACAAUGGGCGCAAGCCUGAUGCAGCCAUGCGGCGUGUGUGAAGAAGGCCUUCGGGGUGUAAAGUACUUUCAGCGGGGAGGCGUUAACCGCAGAAGAAGCACCGGCUAACUCCGUGCCAGCAGCCGCGGUAAUUC